rnacentral:rRNA from 1 species
GAAGAACCUUACCUGGCCUUGACAUGUAACGAACUUUCCAGAGAUGGAUGGGUGCUCGAAAGAGAACGUUAACACAGGUGCUGCAUGGCUGUCGUCAGCUCGUGUCGUGAGAUGUUGGGUUAAGUCCCGCAACGAGCGCAACCCUUGCCAUUAAUUGCCAUCAUUUAGUUGGGCACUUUAAUGGGACUGCCGGUGACAAACCGGAGGAAGGUGGGGAUGACGUCAAGUCCUCAUGGCCCUUAUGGCCAGGGCUUCACACGUAAUACAAUGGUCGGUACAGAGGGUUGCCAACCCGCGAGGGGGAGCCAAUCCCAGAAAGCCGAUCGUAGUCCGGAUUGUAGUCUGCAACUCGACUCCAUGAGGUCGGAAUCGGUAGGA